rnacentral:rRNA from 1 species
CCCUUAGAUGUUCUGGGCCGCACGCGUGCUAUACUGAGUAAUUCAAUGGGUAAGGGAACGCUAGAGCAUUACCUAAUCUUGAAAUUUGCUCGUGAUGGGGAUCGACGGUUGCAAUUUUCCGUCGUGAACGAGGAAUACCUUGUAGGCGCAUGUCAUCAUCAUGCGCCGAAUACGUCCCUGCCCUUUGUACACACCGCCCGUCGCUCCUACCGAUUGAGUGAUCCGGUGAGGCUCUGGGACCUGGACGGAAAGAGCGUUUCGCUUGUUCUGUUUGGGAAACUUGGUCGAACCUUAUCAUUUAGAGGAAGGAGAAGUCGUAACA